rnacentral:lncRNA from 1 species
GUAAUAACUGGCAUGUUUUUUGGGAAAUUAUCAAAAAUACCAUUUUCAAAGUAUCAUUUUUCAUGUUUACACUAACCAGUUUUACCACCAUCUUUAAUGAAGGGUAAAAGACAUUUAUAACCUUUUGAUUAACUUUGACAAAAAAAAACAUAAUGUAAACUAAUCUAAACUUAAAAAUCAACUCUAAACCCUAAAUCAUCAACUCUAAACACUAAACUAUGAAACAUCAACUCUAAAUCCUAAACCCCGAAACAUCAACUCUAAACCCUAAACGUAAACCCUAAACCCAAAAUCUAAACUUAAAACGUCAACUUUAAACCCUAAAUCAUCAACUCUAAACCCUAAACCAUGAAACAUCAACUCUAAACCCUAAACGUAAACCCUAAACCUAAACUUAAAACAUCAACUUUAAACAAUAAAUCAUCAACUCUAAACCCUAAACCAUGAAACAUCAACUCUAAACCCUAAACCCCGAAACACCAACUAUAAACCUUCAAAUCUAAACCCUAAAACAUCAACUCUAAACCCAAAACGUAAACCCUAAACCCUAAACCCUAAACCCUAUAUUUUUCUGAAAUUCGAACCCAGAACCCUAAAACCCUAAACUAUCAAAUCUAAACCAUAAAAAUCAACUCUAAACCCUAAACGUUAAUAUUCUAAAGGAAAUUUAUAUUAUAUAGUCUUUUAUUUUGUUUAUUCAUCUAAUCUGUUUGGUUUGAUAUUACAUUAUUCUCAUUUUGGACAUGAUAUGUAUACAAUAUAGUACAAAUAUGUAGAGCUUGUAAGUUUUCGGAGUACUUAAAAUAGUCAUGAUAUGAUACUGGGUAUAUAAUAUAAAUAAUUUUGUACAAAAAUAUGAGUAUGUUAAAUCAUUUACAAAGUUACCUUGAACCGAUUUGUUCAGUUAAUAAACAAAGGGUAAUAACUGGCAUGUUUUUUGGGCAGUUGCCAAAAAUUCCAUUUUCAAAGUAUCAUUUUUCAUAUUUACACUAACCACUUUUACCACCAUCUUUAAUGAAGGGUAAAAGAAAUUUAUAACCUUUUGAUUAACUUUGACAAAAAAAAACAUAAGGUUAACUAAUCUAAACUUAAAAAUCAACUCUAAACCCUAAAUCAUCAACUCUAAACACUAACUAUGAAACAUCAACUCUAAACCCUAAACCCCGAAACAUCAACUCUAAAACCUAAACUCUAAAACCUAAACAUUCAAAUCUAAACCCUAAAACACCAACUCUAAACCCUAAACAUAAACUCUAAACCCUAAAUCUAAACAUAAAACAUCAACUCUAAACCCUAAAUCAUCAACUCUAAACCCUAAACCAUGAAACAUCAACUCUAAACCCUAAACCCCGAAACACCAACUCUAAACCUUCAAAUCUAAACCCUAAAACAUCAACUCUAAACCCUAAACGUAAACCCUAAACCCUAGACCCUAAACCCUAUAUUUUUCUGAAAUUCGAACUCUGAACCCUAAAACCCUAAAC